rnacentral:rRNA from 1 species
AGAAUCAACGCUGGCGGCGUGCCUAACACAUGCAAGUCGUACGCGAAAGGGGCUUCGGCCCUGAGUAGAGUGGCAAACGGGUGAGUAACACGUGGGUGACCUGCCUUCGAGUGGGGGAUAACGUCCCGAAAGGGACGCUAAUACCGCAUGACAUCCUGCCCUUGGAAAGGCGGAGAUUAAAGCCGGGGAUCGCAAGACCUGGCGCUUGAAGAGGGCCCGCGCCUGAUUAGCUAGUUGGUGGGGUAAUGGCCUACCAAGGCAACGAUCAGUA